rnacentral:rRNA from 1 species
GACGAACGCUGGCGGCGUGCCUAAUACAUGCAAGUAGAACGCUGAAGGAGGAGCUUGCUUCUCUGGAUGAGUUGCGAACGGGUGAGUAACGCGUAGGUAACCUGCCUGGUAGCGGGGGAUAACUAUUGGAAACGAUAGCUAAUACCGCAUAAUAGCAGUUGUUGCAUGACAACUGUUUGAAAGGUGCAAUUGCACCACUACCAGAUGGACCUGCGUUGUAUUAGCUAGUUGGUGGGGUAACGGCUCACCAAGGCGACGAUACAUAGCCGACCUGAGAGGGUGAACGGCCACACUGGGAAUGAGACACGGCCCAGACUCCUACCGGAGGCAGCCGGAGGGAAUCUUCGGCAAUGGACGGAAGUCUGACCGAGCAAAGCCGCGGGAGUGAAGAAGGUUGUCGGAUCGUAAAGCUCUGUUGUAAGAGAAGAAAGAGUGUGAGAGUGGAAAGUUCACACUGUGACGGUAUCUUACCAGAAAGGGACGGCUAACUACGUG